rnacentral:lncRNA from 1 species
CUUCUUCUCAAACAUUCAACGAAACGAGAAUCCAAUAUUUAAUCUAGACCAAUAUAUAAAACUAUGUCGAUGAAUUUAAGUCAGAAUUUAUAAUCAAUUUCUACUUGUAGAUUGAAAUAAAAAUAAUAUAGAAUUAUUUUUUUUAUUUUUUUUUAUAAGGAAGAAGUAGCAUGUUUUAAAAAACAAAUGUAACAUGCAGUUGCUA